CUACCCCAAAUGCUUUUUAUUUCUGCUUUCUUUCUUUAAACCAGAUUUCAUCUGUGGUGGGAGCUCCUGAUCAGGAUUUCUCAAGAACUGUCAAGAAAAAGGAGAAAGAACCAAAGAGGAAGCAUCACGAUCGGACAACAAACAAAAAAUUUUACUCUGUACAGCAAGUCAAUGGGUUUCAAAUCUUUAUCUACCUAGAACUUCCCAGUGACACAAGGAACAGAAGCUUGGGCUAGAACCUGAAGAAUGAGGAAUUGUUUGGUAGGGAGAAAGAGUAUUCCAGAGAGAGUCCCAGAAGUUUUCAAGGUAACAGGAAACUACUGAAGAUUUUUUUUAAAGCAUGAAUGUGACAUGGGCCGUGACUCUAAACAAAACCAUAACCUCCCUGAACCUCAGUUUCUCCAUUUGUAAAAUGACAGGAUUGGGAAGUCUUUUCCAUCCAGAAAUCUACAAUCCCUGGAUCUAUGCUUAUAUUUUAUUUUGGAAAUAAAAUACCUAAAGAAUAGAAGUAAAUUUGUCAUGAGUAGUUUUUUGGUCCAAAUU